rnacentral:rRNA from 1 species
AGUGAACGCUGGCGGUAGGCCUAACACAUGCAAGUCGAACGGCAGCACAGUAAGAGCUUGCUCUUACGGGUGGCGAGUGGCGGACGAGUGAGGAAUACAUCGGAAUCUACUUUUUCGUGGGGGAUAACGUAGGGAAACUUACGCUAAUACCGCAUACGACCUACGGGUGAAAGCAGGGGAUCUUCUGACCUUGCGCGAUUGAAUGAGCCGAUGUCGGAUUAGCUAGUUGGCGGGGUAAAGGCCCACCAAGGCGACGAUCCGUAGCUGGUCUGAGAGGAUGAUCAGCCACACUGGAACUGAGACACGGUCCAGACUCCUAUGGGAGGCAGCAGUGGGGAAUAUUGGACAAUGGGCGCAAGCCUGAUCCAGCCAUACCGCGUGGGUGAAGAAGGCCUUCGGGUUGUAAAGCCCUUUUGUUGGGAAAGAAAAGCAGCAGGUUAAUACCCCGCUGUUCUGACGGUACCCAAAGAAUAAGCACCGGCUAACUUCGUG